AAAGCGAGGGACCGCAAGGCCUCGCGCGAUUGGAGCGGCCGAUGUCGGAUUAGCUAGUUGGCGGGGUAAAAGCCCACCAAGGCGACGAUCCGUAGCUGGUUUGAGAGAACGACCAGCCACACUGGGACUGAGACACGGCCCAGACUCCUACGGGAGGCAGCAGUGGGGAAUUUUGGACAAUGGGGGCAACCCUGAUCCAGCCAUGCCGCGUGUGUGAAGAAGGCCUUCGGGUUGUAAAGCACUUUCGGCCGGAACGAAAUCGCCUGCGUUAAUAGCGGAGGUGGAUGACGGUACCGGAAGAACACCGGCUAACUACGUGCCAGCAGCCGCGGUAAUACGUA
rnacentral:rRNA from 1 species